GAUAUGGAGUUUCUGCUCGGCAGCCCAUUCCAGGUUCACACGAAUCAAUGUAACGCUACCAUAAGGCCUUUGUCCACACAGGACAAAAAAAGCACAAAGAUAAGGCAGGCUUCAGGUGAAGAGAUAUGCUGCCAUGGUCAAGGAUAAGAGAAGUGAUGUGCAAACUGGAAACAAGGGCAGAAACCCACUAACAUUGUUUUCUUUUGGUUAUCUUGAGGAGCUUUAUGGCCGACCACAAAUAGUUACAAUAAAAAGCUCUGUUUGAUUACAUCUGCACAUGUAUGACUAAAACAGCAUUGUGGGUGAGUAAAUUUUAGAUCAACACAUCCUUGUAGAGGUUGUUCUGCCUAUAUUAUAGCAUCAUCCAAGAAUUCAUGUCCCAACAACCAAAUUGUGUAGGACGAUAGCUAAAAGAAACUUCUACAAAAAUGCUUUGUUUCCUUGCAGCUUAAUGGGCUCUGAAGCCAGUUCAAAAAUGGUUGAUGGGGUCGGCAUUCUCAAGAUUGGAGAUAGAUGUUCACAGAAAGGAACCUACUUUUCCUUGAUGCAUUGCAAACAAGACUUCAAGCAGAAAAUCAGAAAUAAAUAAAUAAAUAAAUAGCAAUCAAGUGAUCUGCCGACAAUGCACAAAGAAAAUAUACACAAAUGUAUAUUAUAUCAUUCCCAGAUGUACUUGGUAAAACAUACCACAGCCUCGGCCAUGAGACUUACAUGCGGGAAUCAAACAUCUAAGCCCGUUAGUGCCACUAGCCUUUCGCCAAAAGUGCAACUACUGCAGAAGUACAGCAUAAUCACUGAGGGUAGUGAUCCCAUUUCCAGGUUGUCCAUCAUAAUUUGAUUGUUCAUUUGUGUUGGACGGUGUAGUCACAACUUUCAAUUUGUUCAUCAAUCAGGAAGCCAUUUCCAUGUAAACUCAUAGUGCUCUCUCUAAUAACAUGCGUGCACACAGUCUAUACAGCAAGGAGCAUGCAAACCAAGUGAAGAAGAAAAGUUUCUUCUUCCCUGGAGUAACAAUACAAGAGAAAAUUUAAAA